rnacentral:rRNA from 1 species
GCCAUGCUAGUUGCACGAGUUCAUACUCGUGGCGAAAAGCUCAGUAACACGUGGCCAAACUACCCUACAGAGAACGAUAACCUCGGGAAACUGAGGCUAAUAGUUCAUACGGGAGUCAUGCUGGAAUGCCGACUCCCCGAAACGCUCAGGCGCUGUAGGAUGUGGCUGCGGCCGAUUAGGUAGACGGUGGGGUAACGGCCCACCGUGCCGAUAAUCGGUACGGGUUGUGAGAGCAAGAGCCCGGAGACGGAAUCUGAGACAAGAUUCCGGGCCCUACGGGGCGCAGCAGGCGCGAAACCUUUACACUGCACGCAAGUGCGAUAAGGGGACCCCAAGUGCGAGGGCAUAUAGUCCUCGCUUUUCACGACUGUAAGGCGGUCGUGGAAUAAGAGCUGGGCAAGACCGGUGCCAGCCGCCGCGGUAAUACCGGCAGCUCAAGUGAUGACCGAUAUUAUUGGGCCUAAAGCGUCCGUAGCCGGCCACGAAGGUUCAUCGGGAAAUCCGCCAGCUCAACUGGCGGGCGUCCGGUGAAAACCACGUGGCUUGGGACCGGAAGGCUCGAGGGGUACGUCCGGGGUAGGAGUGAAAUCCCGUAAUCCUGGACGGACCACCGAUGGCGAAAGCACCUCGAGAAGACGGAUCCGACGGUGAGGGACGAAAGCUAGGGUCUCGAACCGGAUUAGAUACCCGGGUAGUCCUAGCUGUAAACGAUGCUCGCUAGGUGUGACACAGGCUACGAGCCUGUGUUGUGCCGUAGGGAAGCCGAGAAGCGAGCCGCCUGGGAAGUACGUCCGCAAGGAUGAAACUUAAAGGAAUUGGCGGGGGGAGCACUAC